CCGUACUAGUUGGGGAGUUAGCGGUGCCCUGAAUCUGCAAUCCGCUGUAGCAGAGCUGAAUGAUUGUGUGCGGCGUAGAUUUUUGUUUGAUGAGUAUGGAGUUUUGAUGUUGAAAUCAAGGUCCCAUGCAACGUUUUCCCGUGAACCAUGUCAGAGCCUGACGGCAGCAUCAUUAAGCGGACCAAAGCGUGUGCCAUGGGGAAACUUUGGUGGAGUCAACACUUCAUGCGGCUGGA
rnacentral:SRP_RNA from 1 species